UACGUAGGGGGCGAGCGUUAUCCGGAUUCACUGGGUGUAAAGGGAGCGUAGACGGCCAUGCAAGCCAGGGGUGAAAGCCCGGGGCCCAACCCCGGGACUGCCCUUGGAACUGCAUGGCUGGAGUGCAGGAGGGGCAGGCGGAAUUCCUGGUGUAGCGGUGAAAUGCGUAGAUAUCAGGAGGAACACCGGUGGCGAAGGCGGCCUGCUGGACUGCAACUGACGUUGAGGCCCGAAAGCGUGGGGAGCAAACAGG
rnacentral:rRNA from 1 species